GGGAACAUAGUGUAGUGGUAGCAUGCGUCCUUCGGGAGCCUUCUCUCGAAGAAAAUGGACGAGGUCAUCGGUUCAAUCCCGGUUGUUCCCC